AGUCAGUCUGCGUGCCGAUGCUGAUUCUGGUGAUGACCCUCCCAUCGUAUGCAUGGAUCAUCAGAUACUCACGUGAGACAACAUUGCAUGUUCUGCUGUUGAAUCCAUCUCAGUUGAUUUGCCUGCAUAUGAAGGGCUGACAGGGCUGCUGGCAAUAGUCACACUGAGCAAGAUGCACAUCCUGUUUAGACGCAACCUCUGGAACCUGCAGUGCAGCAAGGCACUAUGGGUAAUAUAGAGAUACUGCACAAAGUCGAUGGUACCUUUUGAACACAAGGAAUUUGUUUUGGCUCUGGCUUGUAUGCUAUGAGACGAGGCAGACCCACACAAGGUAUAUC